rnacentral:rRNA from 1 species
UACGAAGGGGGCUAGCGUUGCUCGGAAUCACUGGGCGUAAAGCGCACAUAGGCGGAUUGCUAAGUCAGGGGUGAAAUCCUGGAGCUCAACUCCAGAACUGCCUUUGAUACUGGCGAUCUUGAGUCCGGGAGAGGUGAGUGGAACUGCGAGUGUAGAGGUGAAAUUCGUAGAUAUUCGCAAGAACACCAGUGGCGAAGGCGGCUCACUGGCCCGGUACUGACGCUGAGGUGCGAAAGCGUGGGGAGCGAACAGG